GAUGAACGCUGGCGGCGUGCCUAAUACAUGCAAGUCGAGCGAACAGACGAGGAGCUUGCUCCUCUGACGUUAGCGGCGGACGGGUGAGUAACACGUGGAUAACCUACCUAUAAGACUGGGAUAACUUCGGGAAACCGGAGCUAAUACCGGAUAAUAUAUUGAACCGCAUGGUUCAAUAGUGAAAGACGGUUUUGCUGUCACUUAUAGAUGGAUCCGCGCCGCAUUAGCUAGUUGGUAAGGUAACGGCUUACCAAGGCAACGAUGCGUAGCCGACCUGAGAGGGUGAUCGGCCACACUGGAACUGAGACACGGUCCAGACUCCUACGGGAGGCAGCAGUAGGGAAUCUUAGGCAAUGGGCGAAAGCAUGACGGAGCAACGCCGCGUGAGUGAUGAAGGUCUUCGGAUCGUAAAACUCUGUUAUUAGGGAAGAACAAAUGUGUAAGUAACUAUGCACGUCUUGACGGUACCUAAUCAGAAAGCCACGGCUAACUACGUG
rnacentral:rRNA from 1 species